rnacentral:rRNA from 1 species
GAAGAGAGAGUUCAAGAGUACGUGAAACCGCUUAGAGGCAAACGGGUGGAUCCGCAAAGUCGGCCCGGGGAAUUCAACUUACCGUUGGCGCGGUCUGCGUGAUUCUGGAUCCGCAAAGACCUGCACGUAGUUCGGCCGCCACCGGUGUGUGCACUUUCCUCGGGUAGAGCGCCACGACCGGUUUUCCGGCGUCAGAAGCCGGUGUGAAAGGUGACCACCUCUUCGGAGGGGGUGUUAUAGCCACGCCGCGUUGGCUCGCUGGGAGACCGAGGAACUGCCGUGCCUGCCUGCCUUCGGCUGUCGUUGUUCGAUCAAAUUGAGUAGACUGCUUGCAGUGUUCUCUAAGCGCGGAUGGCGAUCGGCUGGAGCGCACAAGGUACUUCGGGUCAGUGGCGAAUCGGUCGGCCCUCCACCCGACCCGUCUUGAAACACGGACCAAGGAGUCUAACAUGUGCGCAAGUCAUGGGGUUUUACGAAACCUAAAAAGGCACAAUGAAAGUGAAGGCAGCCUCGGGUUUGCCUAGGUAGGAUCCUUCCUUCCGGGGGGAGGCGCACUACCGGCCCGUCUCGUCCGCAUUGUCGGU